UAUUUAUUGGAAUUUGCAGACCUUGAUCCUCAACUGACUUCAAUGAACCCAUCAUGUACAUCAAAAUAAGCUAAAAAUUUUUCAGUGCAACCCUCAUAUACCCCAAAUAGAUCUUUCAGAUGCUGUAAGAAUUAAUCACUGCACUGUUAACUUUAAGGAAGUAAUUCUAGUUAACCAAGAUCCUGAUAAGAGUUUACUCCUAAUGCUUCACAAUGAAACUGCAGUUUGUGCUCCCCAAAGAGGUCUGCUGGGAUCCCUUUAGCAGCCUCAAGCUCUCAGGUGCAUCCACAUCUUGUACAACAGCAGCAGUUCAGCUGUGUGGAGGACCAUAAGUAUUUCCUGGCCACAGGGCCAUCACCUCUGACAGCUGGGAGACUCAACACAACACCUAGGGUGAAGCUAUGGUGAGACUGAAUCAUGUUAUGGAGGCAGAAGCGUCGUCAGAUCGUGUCAUUUGCUGUGAGAACGUGUAGGUACUGUGGCCUUCACCCCAAAGCACUUAUAGUCCAAGCCAGAUUGCUUGUAAAGAGGAGGGUCACAGUAAAGCAGGGACAUCUGUGCUGUUUGGAAUGUUGUGAUUUAUAGCUGUAUUUUUUCAAUAAAGCCCAUUUUUUUCUUU